GUGUAAGUAUAAAUAAUUUUACUUUGAAACUGCGAAUGGCUCAUUAUAUCAGUUAUAGUUUAUUAGAAAUACUUUACUACUUGGAUAACCGUAGUAAUUCUAGGGCUAAUACAUGAAUAAAUCCUCAACUUCGGAAGAGGUGUGUUUAUUAGUAUGAAAACCAUAUAUCUUCGGAUAUAAUAGUGAGUAAUAAUAACCUUUCAUAUCGUAUGUCGUAAGAUAACGAUAGUUCUUUCAAGUUUCUGCCCUAUCAGCUUUCGAUGGUAGUAUAUGGGACUACCAUGGCAGUAACGGGUAACGAAGAAUUUGGGUUCGAUUUCGGAGAGGGAGCCUGAGAGAUGGCUACCACAUCCAAGGAAGGCAGCAGGCGCGUAAAUUACCCAAUCCUGACAUAGGGAGGUAGUGACAAUAAAUCACAAUGCGGAACUUUUUAUUU
rnacentral:rRNA from 1 species